GAUUCCCGAGUCCCAAGUUCGUUUCCCAAGUCUCAAACUUGGAUCACUAUUGAUGGCGGAGAAAAUAGAUAAGGUUCCUCCAAAUUCCCCCUCUCCCUCCAACGUCUCUCUUUCUCUCUCUACCCCUCUCAUGGCCCAAACCCUACUCUACUGCUGAGAAUGCGAUCAAACCCUAAUCCUAGAAUCUCUAUACCCGCUCCAAUUCGUGGCUACUGAGCGGGGAAGAGCCCCUCGUCGUCAUCUUCGUCAUCUUCCUCGGCGAAGUUUUGGAGCAGCACUAUCCAUGGCGAGAGUCACGGAUUUCGCCUUCAAUCCCCCUCCUUCGUUGGCCCCCACCACUCCCGCGCCGCAUAGGGCGAAACCCGCCGUCUCCCGUUCUUCGUUCUUUGUCCGAUUCCCCAAGAAGCCGAUUCGAGAGGGUAGGGUUUUCCCGGCGACCAAGGUGGCCGUGGUGGCGCGGUACGGCGGAGGCGGCGGAGGGUACCGGCCGGGGGGAGGCUACGGCGAGUCGAGGCGGCCGCAGGGGGAUGCUCGCAUCGCCGACCCCGACUACGAUCCCGCGCUCGAUCUUGAUAGGGUUAAGUCAUCAACUGUAAGGCUUUUGGAUGAGCAGCAAAAUAUGAUUGGUGUAGUGUCCAAAAAUGAAGCCAUCCGAAUGGCAAACGAUGCUGAUCUUAUACUGGCUAUAUUGUCAGUAGAUGCGGAUCCCCCAGUCCUCAGACUCUUUGACGACAUGGAUUACAAAAAGCACAAGUAUGAACAGCAAAAGAAGAAAAGGGUGCAACAGAAAAGAUCGGCUGCAAAUCGAGUGGAUAUUAAGGAGCUUAAAAUGGGGUACAACAUUGACUCUCAUGACUAUUCUGUGAGGCUGAGGGCUGCCCAAAAAUUCCUUAAAGAUGGCGACAAGGUAAAGGUCAUUGUGAACUUGAAAGGCCGGGAAAAUGAAUUCAGAAACAUUGCUAUUGAACUUCUUAAACGUUUUCAAAGUGAUAUUGGAGAGCUUGCGACUGAAGAGAGCAAAAAUUUCAGAGAGCGGAACAUUUUCUUGGUUCUCAUGCCGAACAAAGCAGUCCUACAGAAAGGGCAGGAACAGUCCAAGAAAAAGGAAACAGCAGCUACCGAAGGUUCAGCAAAAGCUCAAUAGAGUCAAAAUUAGAGUGUAACCUUGAUUAAUUUAUGUUAAGAGAUUUUUUUUUUUGUCCUUUGCUUCGGUCAUGUAGAUGAUUGGUAAGGAGAAUGGUAAUCGGGACGACUUUGUUAUGUAAAUAUUUGUGGCGGCAAUAGUAUUAUUACGUGGCGUGAUCCUUAAGUUGGUCGGCGACGUAUCAUCAAAGUGAUUAGGACAAAGUGUUCCCGGACAGAAGAAUUCGUGCAAUUUUCGUCUCCUUCGUUGUUCUUGAAUCCGAAUCCUGAAAGACUAACACUAUUGGGUCCUGUUGGUUUAUGUGUUCUAUUUUGGAAAUUAUUUUUUCUGCGACACUUCCCUAUGUAAAAUUACACUCCUAGAUUGUUGUAGAAGAGGCAUGAUUGUAUAAGAAGGGCAUAUCUAAAGUUCGAAAUUUUGCAUUUGCUGAAUAAGAAUGGUUUAAGUGUUUGCUCUGC